rnacentral:rRNA from 2 species
UGGAGCAUGUGGUUAAUUCGAAGCAACGCGCAGACCUUACCAGCCUUUGACAUGCCUCGGACGGAUAGCAGAGAUGCUUUCUUCUCUUCGGAGCCGGGACACAGGUGCUGCAUGGCUGUCGUCAGCUCGUGUCGUGAGAUGUUGGGUUAAGUCCCGCAACGAGCGCAACCCUCGCCCCUAGUUGCCAUCAUUCAGUUGGGCACUCUAGGGGGACUGCCGGUGAUAAGCCGCGAGGAAGGUGGGAUGACGUCAAGUCCUCAUGGCCCUUACAGGCUGGGCUACACACGUGCUACAAUGGCGGUGACAAUGGGACGCGAAGCCGCGAGGCCGAGCAAAUCUCCAAAAGCCGUCUCAGUUCGGAUUGCACUCUGCAACUCGAGUGCAUGAAGUUGGAAUCGCUAGUAAUCGUAGAUCAGAACGCUACGGUGAAUACGUUCCCGGGCCUU